rnacentral:rRNA from 1 species
UACGAAGGGGGCUAGCGUUGCUCGGAAUGACUGGGCGUAAAGGGCGCGUAGGCGGUUCGUACAGUCAGACGUGAAAUCCCGGGCUCAACCUGGGGGCUGCGUUUGAUACGUGCGGGCUUGAGUUCGGAAGAGGGUCGUGGGAAUUCCCAGUGUAGAGGUGGAAAUUACGUGAGAUUAUUCGCAAGUAACGACCAAGGAACGGCC